rnacentral:rRNA from 1 species
GACGAACGCUGGCGGCGUGCUUAACACAUGCAAGUCGAGCGGUAAGGCCCUUUCGGGGGUACGACGAGCGGCGAACGGGUGAGUAACACGUGGGUGACCUGCCCUUAGCUCUGGGAUAAGCCUGGGAAACUGGGUCUAAUACCGGAUAUGACUCCAUGACGCAUGUUGUGGGGUGGAAAGCCUUGUGCGGCUAGGGAUGGGCCCGCGGCCUAUCAGCUUGUUGGUGGGGUGAUGGCCUACCAAGGCGACGACGGGUAGCCGGCCUGAGAGGGCGACCGGCCACACUGGGACGUGAGACACGGCCCAGACUCCUACGGGAGGGCAGCAGUGGGGAAGUCUUGCGCAAUGGGCGAAAGCCUGACGCAGCGACGCCGCGUGAGGGAUGAC